UCUAGCAAAGGGGCUGCUUUGGAAACUUGGGACCAGGGUUAGCUAAAGACUACAAGAAUCACACAGCAUGCAAAGAGACAAUGAGUGAUCUUACAUUCAGUCUAUUUCAGAAAGCAAAGGCAGGAACUUCAGCUGAUUAUUACAGAAGAAUGGCACAUUUACAGAAUUACUUUCCUUGAACUUCAUUUGGAACAGGCUUGUAUUUUGCUAUUAAUUAUGGUGUAAUUUCUGGAGCCAGGCAAUGAUAACCUGGAGGAGUUGUGUAUUCAGGAGGCUGGGGGUGAAGAUUUUCAGAAAAAACACCCUCUUGUUCAUGCUCUUCUGGUUUGGCUUUUGGAUUUUCAUGAGUGCACUGAUGUUUGUUCACAGGGCAACCUUCUCUGACUACUGCACUGAUGAGAAAAGUAAAAGGAUUCUGGCAAGAGUGUGUGAUGGAUAUAAGGAGGGAAUCCUCACUGGGGAUCUUUGUGAAGAUCUGUGCGUCAGCAAGCAAGUGGUGUACCAAAGAUGUCUUUACUAUGAAAAGGGUAAAAAGGUCAUUCAGGCAGACUGGCAUGGUAUUCCCAUUAUACUCAAAUCAAAACUGGAAAACUUCUCCUCCUAUAAUAAUUUCGGUAUGCUGGAUUACCAAGAAAUGCAGGAUGUUUCCACAAUGGAUAUUGUGUUUUAUGCAGCACUGGAGAUUAAAAACUUGUUGGGGUUGGAACUGGAGAACACAACUGUGCCAAAACUAUGGAGCAAACAUUUACAAGGGAGAGUUGAACCAUACUCCAAGGCAGAACUGGUCACCAUGUGGUCCCUUCUUCAACAGGAAGAGUAUACUUUUUUCAAAAUAUUACAGGAUCUAAGCAAGCAUGUUGUCAAGAUACUGGGAUCCUGUGGGCACUUUUAUGCAGUGGAGUACCUUAUAGCUGGCCAUGCUUGGAAUCAGAACCUCUUUUCCCUGGAAGAACUUUUUGGUUCAUCUGUAACAGGCCAUAACAACAGAGCCUUAAAGGGGGCUAUACAUAAAAUUGCACUCAGCUUUUUAGACAUGGUCAAGCACUUUGAAAACGACUUUUCCUACCAUCUUCACCUCUGUGACAUCAAACCAGAAAACUUUGCAAUUAGAAAAGAUCUGACGGUUGUUGCCAUCGAUGUAGACAUGGCCUUCUUUGAGCCCAAAAUGAGAGACAUCCUUCAACAGAAUUGCACAAAUGAUGAAGACUGUAAUUUUUUUGACUGUUUUUCUAAGUGUGACAUGCAGACCAACAAAUGUGGUGCAAAAAGGAUAAACAGCAAUUUGCAACAUGACUACCCUGACUGAUUAUCGAACCAAGACCGGACCCGACACCGAACAUGGAUUUACCUACCUCUUCUUCUUCCGACCCAGUCAAUCCAUGGAACAUCCCGAUCCCUCCAGCGGCAUCCCAGAGCUUUCCCAGCCACGCCAUUCCAAAAGGAAACGCCAACAGGAUCCCUUCCCUGCCCAGCUUUUCUUUAAGAACUGGCCUGUUGCCAGACUAUUAAAAGCAUUAUUUGAUAAGGAAAUCCAAAUUCCACCUGGAAGUGAUCGGACCACAUUAUUUUGACUUAUGUGCGAGUCUGUCUCAGCAAAGCCCAUUUUUUCCACUUGUCGCCCCGCCCCUGCUCGCUCUGCAGCUGCUACAACCGCAUAAGUCACCACUGCAGAGCUGCCUACAAGUAUAACAGAAGCCCAGCAGUUACCUUCAGCUGAAGACACUAUGGCAGAGCUGCAUCAAAAAAUUAUAGAUGACAUGAAGCAGUUUAUGCAGCCAUUUGCAAACGCUUUGUCUGCAAUAAACACUCAUCUAGAUGGCAUAGACAAUCGCUCCACCACUGUUGCAGUUCCUCCUUCCACCUCUCAUGUUCCAAUCUCCGCCCCCACCUUCACUGCAUCUUCACCGCCCAGGCAGCUUUGGCCCCACCCCCAGUCCCAUCCAUCAGCGUUCCAGAGUACAACCUGGCUACAGCAUCCACUUCAGGCUCCAUUCUCAUCGCUGCAUCUGAAUUUAUUGAUCACAGAGUAGUUGGAUUAAUCAGUCACGCUGAAAUCCCACGACCCCCGCCUGCUUAAAAAUCUGUCCCUUGGCGAGUUCAUUUUCGCAUAUUCCUUUUAUUGAGAUGUUCUGUGUGCUGCAUACCCCCAUUGCCGUCAGGAAUGGACCAAUAUAUGUUUUAUGUUGUAGAAAUAUCAGUGAGAUAUGGGGGCACUAUGUUCUACGACUACCAUAAAACAUUCUCUGCAAAAGCAGCCGCUAUAUUGGCUAACAACAAUCAUGUCAUUGUUUGGUCCGCCCCCAGCAUAGAUCUAUUCAGCCGUAUUUUCAGUGGGGUCAGGGCAAACGAAUGCAGGGUAUGAGCAUCCACCGCGCACUCAUCGGACCUGUGCCCAAAAGUGGCAAUGGCAACCCCAUCCACAUCAGCCAUCACCCCCCAGAUUCAGCAACCGCAACUCACCUCCAAUUCCUGCCCUCCUCCCCCUCUACCAAUCCAUAACUAAAGACAAAUAUGGCCGCCCCAUCAAAUUUUCUGGAUCCUGAGGGCUCCCUUGUGGCGCAUCCAGUAAAGGCGCUCCGCGCGGAGUGCAGGAUGUGCCCUAUAGCCUGGAGAUUGCAGGUUCGAAUCCAGGCUAUGUCACAGCCAACCGUGACCGGGAGUUCCUAGGGGGUGGCGCACAAUUGGCUGAGCGAUGCCCGGGUAGGGAGGGCUUAGGUCGGCAGGGGAAUCCACGGCUCACCGCGCAUCAGCGACCCCUGUGGCUGAUAGGGCGCCUGUGGUUCUGCAGUGGAGCCGCCAGAUCUGUGUUGUCCUCCGGCAGUAUAGGUCUGCUGGCAUUACUGUGGAUCUGCAGUGCGAAAAAUGACAGCUUUGCAGGAGCACAUUUCGGAGGACGCGUGUUCCAGCCACCGUUUUCAGAGUCGGCGGGGUGGUUGCGAGCGGUGAGCCAAGGAUAAAGAUAAUAAUAGGGCAUACUAAAUUGGGGAGAAAACUGGGGUAAAAAAAUUGGCGACGACUAAAUUAAAAAAAAAAAAAAGAAUAUUUUCUGGAUCCAUUCUCCACCUCCAUUAACAUCCCAGCCCUAGUCAACGCACUCCAACACCACCCAGAUAGGCAAUUCGUUGCUUAUCUAAAUGACGGCCUGCAGUCUGGUUUCUCCACCGGCCUUUUUUAUCUCCCCUCUGUCCCAUUCGUAUGCAAAAAUCUUCGUUCUAAUUAGUCUCUAAUUCAAGCCGAGGUGGACAAAGGAUUCUUGGCCAGCCCUUUUCCAGCUCUGCCAUUUCCCGUCUUCAAGAUAGCCCCAUCAGAAUAGAGAACCACAAAAUAUAGAGAAAAAAGCACCUAAUCAUCGAUCUUUCCGCCCCAAGAGGCAGUUCAAAUUCCAGUCUCAACACCUGAAUUUCCCUCGACCAAUUCUCCCUUCAUACAUAACAGUUCCCAAUACCAUUAAAGCAGCAGGCCACGGCAACUGGCUCACAAAAGCAGGUAAUUGAGACGCUUUUAUAGUCAUGCCCAUUCAUCCAUCCUUCUGCCACCUAUUCAGGAUCUGCUGGGAAGCUAAGGAUAUCAGUUUCCCAUAAUUUCGUGAUCCAAGCUCGCCAUCUUCCAGGCAGCUACAAUAAUGCAGCUGAUGCUUUAUCUCGUCUACAGGUAGUCAAGUUCCGCAGCCUGGUUCCAGCAGCACUUCUAUCUCCCCUUUAAGUUCCCUGUUCCAGCAGUUAAUCUUCAAUUGAAUCCAACCCUCUCCAGCCUCCUCCUAUCGGCAAGAUCCUAUAUGUUAGCAGCCCUCUCUGCAUCCACCCGCUCCUCUUACGCAACAGGGUGGGCAACUUUUUCCAUCUUCUGCGCUCAGAACAGGAUAUCUCCCACACCCUUUAACGAAAACUGGAUCAUAGCUUUCACUGUUCACGCUCGGGACACACUGCAUUUAUCUCCAACCUCUAUAAUAAAAGUGGAAUUCAAUUCCACUUCUGCAGCAUGGCGAUCCCCUCGCCGACCCUUCUCUCCAUCCCAGCUAUAUGUCUGACACUCCGAGGAAUCACCAAAAGCCUUCCCCUGCAUCUCCUUCUAGACUUCCCAUAACCACUGAUAUCCUCUAUAUCCUGAUUUCAAUUCUCAGGUCAGGAAGCAAUGUGCCUAACCGCCUUCUUUGGAUUUUUCAUCGUGUUCCUGAGAGAAUCCAAAACAGAUCAACUCCGCCAAGGUCAAUUUUUGCAAAUAUCAAAGAUAGACCCCUCUCUGCCCUUUCUCCUCUCUAACUAAGUUCAUAUCUAUUAAAAGAUCUUUCAGUUUCUUAGACACCCUCUUCAUUGAUUGCUCAUCCCGCUCUCGUCACCAUCUAUUAGUUACUUUUGUUUGUCAUUGUUUGUCUCUUCUUUCUUUUAUGUUAUGCAUUGGCACGCAGUCUUUGUUUGUCUUCACAGGUGUGGGUUCAGCGGGAGCCAGUGGUCCAUCUUUUGGGGGGUUAGUGAGUCUCACUUCCCUGACCUAGAGUUUCGGUAACUCCACAGGUUCUUCGUGUGGUCAGAGGGGACCACCGGCCACACUAUUCUUUCACAGCUCAUGUGCUUAUAUCUUGCCUCAAGAAAGAAGGCUCUGGCUUACUUCCUCCUUUAUCCUCCUGGGACGUGGCCCUCUUGCUUAGUGCUCGAGUCCCAUAACUAACAAUUAUUUGUGUUCCUUUAGAUUCUCUUUUCUUCCUUAUGUCAAGGUUUCGUAUGAGCCAUUCCGUCCACUGAGGGUCGAGCCCAGUCGGUAACCGGGACCCAGUCACGAGGCAAUGCCUCUAAUGACUCUCCGAGAAGUCAGAGGACUCUGUAUUUUCAGGGGCCCGGAGGCCAAUAGGGCUAUCCUCGACUCCAUAGGGAAGGCUCUCUCAGUUGGAAUCCGGGCCCAUCCUUUUCUCUCUCCCCUGUUCCAAUCCUAAGUUGCAGAAGCAUUCUCUUCCUCUCGCAGCCCUGGCUCCCGCCCCGUGAACUGUAUGCAGCAAUUAAAAUACAUUGAGCAAUGUUGGUAUUGGUGGUUAAGGGCUGUUGCAUGAGAUAUUUAAACAUGCACAGGCCCUGCUAUGAGAAAUGUUAAUUAACCAUGUCAACAGGACACUUAAAAGAGGUUGUUCACUGAGUAAAAUCAAGAGGAUAAUAACAGGUCUUUUGUUUUUUUACUGAAUCAACCCCUAUUUUGCAAGGGUUAGCACUUGAAAGAAAAAAAAAAGAUUUUAGGAACUCCCAUAUUAAAUGUAACAUUCAAGCAGGUCUCUACACAAAUAAUCUACUCCAUUUGGUACAAUAGAAGUGUAAGUAUGAGUAAUUCUGUUUUGGAGGCAUGAUGCACAAAGUUUUGAAAUGUCAUAAAUCAAUUUUCCAUCUUGGGAAUUGUCUUUCCUAGCAUCCAAGGAACUCAGAAUUUUUGGAAAUCCUAAUUUGGACAUGGAUAUUACAGUUGGGCAGUUUUCAUAAAAAACAAAGACUAUCACCAGCUGUGGUAUUCUCUCAAGCCCAUCUUCAGCACAGCUGUUACUUGACUGAAAAAAUUGUAUGCUUUUAAAUGUUAAAACAAUAGUCAAAUGUUUUUGAUAACUCUUGUAUGCUAUAAAUUAGGAUAAAGCUCUUAUAAUUACAGCCAUUAUUAAUUGUGGUACAGUGAGCAGAUGCAGAUGGUUUUUCAAAUUGGUGACAUUUUAAUGUUGAUGCUUGCUUCUAGACAGACAUCCACCAUUUUAAAAUGUUAUGGGUAUCCCUUAUAUGUUUCCCAUAGUAAAAGCCUAGCAAAGUGUAAUAAAGCCUAGUGGAACCAUGGUAAAUCAUAGGUAAGCACUGUAAGCCCAGAGAGUUAUGGUAAAUGCAUAGUAAAACCAUGAGAAAAGCAUUGGAAAACUGCAAAAUUACCAUGCAAAAUCACUGUGGUAAACUUUUAGAAUUUUUAGAAGGUAUAUUAUUGUACCUUCUAAUUUAAAAAGAAAGUAUACUUAGAUUACAUUUUUGUUCAAAGUUUGUCGGUGUCAUGAAUAUAAGAAAACUAAUAGUGUUCCUUUCAAUACAUAUCCUGCAAUGCUUUUCUGCUUCAGCAGUAUUGUAACUCAAUUUAAUGUUCCUUAUUCUAAACAACCUCAAUGUGGUCAUAGUAAAUAAAAUAUUUACCUUUAAGGACCUUCAUAAAUAUAUAAAUAUUUUAUUUCAAAUGUUUUCAGAACAACAACAUAACUUAUUUGGAAUAAAGCUGAAGAUUUUUCGAAUUUCCUCAGAAUGUGUGUCAUGUUACAUCCUAUAGCUGCCUGUAGGUAAUAUGUAUUGUUGAUCCUGUCUCUUAUGAUUUGGUAUAUGAUUGGGAAAGAGGACUACAAAGGGGAGUAACAAGAUGACACUUUUAUGCUAUAAGAGACACUGUCAACUGUACAUAUUAACAGGUCACAAAGAACAGAACCAGGGGCCACAGGUGGAAGCUGAAGGGUAUAUUCAGAACUGAGGGGAGAAGGAGCUUUUUCACAGAAAAGGGAGGUGAACAUUGGAACAGGCUGCCGGACAGAGUUGAAGCAGAGACUAUCGGAUCCAUGAACAAUAUUGUAUAACCCUCUCUGUGACCACAAUAAGACCUUUAGCUCACCGUCUGGAGGAAGAGCACUCCAUUUUGCCAGAUUCCCAGAGGUUUCACUUCACCUACUAACCUGGUGAUCUGUGACAAGAUGUUCCGCCACUGGUUCUCCCCCAGCCUGAUAGGCCCC